GAUGAACGCUAGCUACAGGCUUAACACAUGCAAGUCGCGGGGCAGCAUGGGGGUUGCUUGCAAUCCCCGAUGGCGACCGGCGCACGGGUGAGUAACGCGUAUCCAACCUGCCCUUCACCACGGGAUAACCCGGCGAAAGUCGGACUAAUACCGUAUGUUGUCCAUUGACGGCAUCCGAUUUGGACGAAAGGUUUGGCGGUGAAGGAGGGGGAUGCGUCCGAUUAGCUGGACGGCGGGGUGACGGCCCACCGUGGCGACGAUCGGUAGGGGUUCUGAGAGGAAGGUCCCCCACACUGGAACUGAGACACGGUCCAGACUCCUACGGGAGGCAGCAGUGAGGAAUAUUGGUCAAUGGGCGUAAGCCUGAACCAGCCAAGUAGCGUGCAGGAUGACGGCCCUAUGGGUUGUAAACUGCUUUUAUGCGGGGAUAAAGUGGCCCACGUGUGGGUUUUUGCAGGUACCGCAUGAAUAAGAACCGGCUAAUUCCGUG
rnacentral:rRNA from 1 species